AAGUCGUAACAAGGUCUCCGUAGGUGAACCUGCGGAGGGAUCAUUAACACUAUUUUGGCUCAUCUGUCACUGAAGAUUCUCGCAAGGGGAGAUUUUGUGACGGGUUAGUUGAGAUUUUCACAAACCUGUCGAACUCGGUUACGUUAUUCCGUAAUCAAUCUACCUUUUCACCACUCUGUAAGCCAAUAGACUGAUAUAACGUGGAACAUUGAAAGGUGUAUCCCGUCAAGAUAAACAAACUAAGCACAACUCUUAGCAACGGAUAUCUUGGUUCUC
rnacentral:misc_RNA from 1 species